rnacentral:lncRNA from 1 species
UAUAACCAAACGUCAAACUCACCUAUUAACAACGUCACACAUGAAACAUGUUGUCUCGUAAUCCAUUUAAAACAAUCGUCCCUGCAUAAUGACAAUCACAAAACAAUAAUUAAACAAAUAUCAUAACAAGAUAAAGUCAAAUAAAUACUACCUACACCCCCCUUUCGAAUUACAACAACUAAGACCAUUAAAACCCAUCACUUUUUCCAAAUGAACCCCACUUUGUUUACUCACUUCGUUCCGAUAAGUCAUACUUCAUUUUAUAUGGAGUAAUGGUAAAAUAACACUCUUUUAUAUUUAUUUGACACAUUAUACAUUCAUGGUAAAGGAGUGGAUUUUUGUAUCUAUUUUUUCUUUUGUGAAAGUAUCAUUUUUCUUUUAUAUACCAUGCAAAUAUCGCCCCUCAAGUGAAUCCCACUUUUUCACCAAUUUCAUAUAACCUUUAUAUAUGUCACCUCAACAUGAUGGCUGAUGAGUAGUUAUUUCUUGAACUAUAUUUAGUUUAUUGCACUUAAAUAAACCAGGGAAUUGUGUUUAAUUGUCUGUUAUUUUUCUGUUUUCUGAAUUCUGCUUAAUUUGGUCGAAAAUUCGUAAUUGUGCUAAUUUGGGUUUUCUGAGCUGAUUAAGUGUACUUUGGCUGCAGGGAAAUUUUGGGAAACAUCAUUUGGAGCAUUAGGGAUGGUGGCAUGAUCAUUCAAGACUCAACAUUUAGCCAUUUCCAUUUUUAUAAAGUUGUAAUUUUGUUUUUUUAGAAACCUUAAUUAGAUUAAGUGCAUUUGGGCCUUUUUGUGGCAAAUUUUGUAGAAGCCCAAUGUGUGGGACACUUGGCACCAAAACCCUAGGUUUUUAGGAGGUGGACCCCACCUAUUUUGAGAAGGGGAUGGUAUUUCCUAGGGCAAUUGCCGAGACCACACACAACUCGCUCAUUCUACACUUUUGCUUUGGCUUUGCAUGUAUGAACUCUCUCUUUGGAGCUUUGGUGUGCCAUUUUCGUUUUUGAGCUUUAAUGGACCAAGAUCACGUUUUUCUUCUUCUAUUGUUUGCAACAAUGUUUGUUCUUGCUUGAUGGAAUGAAGCUCUACNAUUUCUCUCUUUAGAUUUUCGUUUUGAAGGUUGAAUGCUUGAGUUUGAAGCUUCUUCUUUGUUUUUUCAUGGUGGUUUCUUUGGUGGAAGGGAGACCCAUUGUCCAUUUCGGUUUUAUCAUCAUUUUGCUGCAGUAAUCUCGUUUUUACCUUGAGUUUCUUGGAUUGGAGGAUGAAAAUGGAGUUGUUGUCAAGUUUGGUAGUGAAAAAGGCUUAAGUUGGUGCAUGGGUAUUGUAUUCUUGAGCCAUUUUCUUCUAGCAUUUUGUUUUUGAUGUUGGGAAACAAAUUUGGAGUUGGACUUUGUGCUUGAUGAUGGUGGCUAGACGGUAUUGCAUAGGAAGCAUAGGGGUUUGGUUUUGUUUGGGUCAAAAAGUUGAAGAAAAGUGUGUUUUGAAGUUGGAUUUAUGAAGGUAGAACUUGGUUUUAUUGUUCUU